UACGGAGGGUGCAAGCGUUAAUCGGAAUCACUGGGCGUAAAGCGCGCGUAGGCGGCUUUGUAAGUCAGAUGUGAAAGCCCACCGCUCAACGGUGGAAUUGCAUUUGAUACUGCAUCGCUAGAGUUUGGGAGAGGAUAGUGGAAUUUCAGGUGUAGGAGUGAAAUCCGUAGAGAUCUGAAGGAACAUCAGUGGCGAAGGCGACUAUCUGGACCAAUACUGACGCUGAGGUGCGAAAGCGUGGGGAGCAAACAGG
rnacentral:rRNA from 1 species